CAAUAGCAAUUCUCUGAAGUUUCCUUGGGCAAGGAAGAGGUGUUCCGGGGUAAUAAUUGUAUCCAAUCAGUGUCGAUAAAGGUCUUCCUUCAUCCCUCUACAUUCUGGCAGUCAUUAGUCAUUACUUCCUCUGUCUCUGAAUCAUGUAUGUACGACAUCCAUUUCUUGAACCAUGUAUAAGGAUCGGUGGUAAACUCAUCUAAGGGUGAAGUUCAGGCUACUAGGAACAACACAUACACAUUAAAAAAUUUCUUCUUGCUUGUUUAUUAGCUAGUUUCAGUUUGUUGUUAUCAUUGCAGGACUUGUUCAAUCAAUUUGCGAAAUCAUUUAGAAGGCAUGAAUUCUGGGAAAAAUAAAAUCUCUAAUGCACAAUGAGGUAUAUUUUGCCUAUUCCUUGUAAUAAAACUGCAUCAAGCUUGGACUUGCUUUGAGAUGUUGUAAAAGAGACCUAGUAUAGAUAGGAAUUGAUAAUUUUCUCAAGAAUGUUGAUAGCUUAAAUUAGUACUAACAUACCACAAAUCGUUAACCAUUAACGUAGAUAUAUAUGUCAAAUGGAUGUUUAUAGUAUUUCUAUACUUAAACCAUUCUUACUUGAGGAUUUUUAGUUCAUCUCAAUAGAAAUUCAUAUACUCUUGUUGUUUCCUUUUUUCCCAGUGCGUUGAGCAAGGAAGAGGUGUUUCGGGGUAAUGAUUGUAGCAAUCAGCGUCAAUAAAGAUCUUCCCUCUGUAGACACGUGAUUUCGUCCUCUUAAAGUUCAUUUUUUUUUCACUUUUACCCAUUUUUUACCUUAUCCUACCGUGUACCCUCACCCGUGUGAUAAUCCCUCCACAAAAUGACAAAAAUAACAAUCCCCUAACUAAUUUUAUCUUAUCCUAACAACCUAUCCAAUCAAAAUAAAACACAUCACACCCUACCCCAUACCCUACCCCCACCUCACCACUAUCCUACCCUACCCCUACCUCUUUUGACACGUUUUUGAACCCAGGGAAGGCACUAUAUAUUCACAUACAUAUUCCAUUUUUCUUUCCAUCUUCUACACCAAUUCCACUAACACUACAACACUCUACAACCCACUGGAAACAAAAAUAUUCACUAUACGCACACCCUCACACUCACACGACAACAACAAUCACUAAAUCCAUACACCUCACAAUUUGACUCUAUUUUUUUAUGGAUUGAAGAAACGGACUAAUAUAGGAGCACACAUACGGGAAAGGGGAGAGAUCGAGAAAGAGAGGAGAAUAGGGAGAGAUCGAGAAAGAGAGUGAAGAAUUAAGCAACAAAGAGAAGCGAGAGAGUGAGAGAGACUCAAGAGUGACGAUCUGAGAACGAAGGAGAGAAUCGGAAAGGGGUACUGUUCCGGCGAAUUUCGCCUGAGUAUGGCCUGAAUUCGAUCUGCUUUCGUGGUUCUCGCCGUUGUCUGAGAUCGCCGGAUCUCCGGCGACGUGAAACAGCGACCCCAACCCCAAGUCGAUCCGAAUUUAAGCCGAUAAUCAGUUCUUUUUCCAGUUUUUUCAGUUAAAACUCGCCGGAUACUACUGCUGUUCGACGGAUUCAAACACUGCCGGCUCGAAUUUCAGUCUUAGCCGUCUAAAAAUAAUAACCAGCAACCAAUUUCUAGUAGAAUCGGCCUGUUCGAAUUGUUUUCCUACAAAAUCACGUUCGGGUUUGGUUCUUUGUUGCGAUUUCUGUUUUGGACGCUUCAGUUGCUCUAUAUUCUGGGAACUGAAUUUCUAUUCGUCUCAAUCGGGAUGGUUAGUUUCAAAUUUCAGUUCUGCGUUACCGAGUUGGAGUUGUUAUUGUUGAGGUUUUCUAUGUAGGCUUUCGGAUUCGGGUUCUCUUAAAUAUUAUUAUCAACGGAAAUCGAUAUUCGGAAGGUUCAAUUCUAUCCUUUCUCCUCUUAAUUUUACGUAAUCAUGAAUAAUUUGUGUGUUUGGUAUGUUUGAAUAUUUGUUAUGUGUUGGUUGAUGUUGGUUUCGGACUUUGAAUAGCGAAUUGAUAAUCGAAGCAUGUGUUAAUCAUUGGUUGGGAAUGAAUUUGGGGCGGAAGGAAGAAAUUGAUAAAAGAUUAAUAUUUUUCAGGUCAGUUAAUUGAUGGAUGUUGAUGAAUUUGGUAGUAUCAUGAUAAAACCAUCAAAAGUGUAGGCAAAUAAUAGGCUUGAGUUGGCAAAUUUAGAACUUAUGGAUUGUUCGAGCAUUUGAAAUGUUUGUGGAAUGAUUUGUCUUUCCCGCAUUUGGAAAAUGUAUUCAUUUAGCCGGGGAAUGCCCCGAGGUCUUCUAUACUUAUUCAUCGGGGAAUGCCCUGACGUAUCAUGUUGGCGGAAAAUGAUCGUGAUGAAGGCCCAGGGCAUCGGGUAAAGCAUUGGAGCUUAGUUUAGGAUUAGC
rnacentral:lncRNA from 1 species